rnacentral:ncRNA from 2 species
AAACGUCUUCAGGGCGGGGUGCGAUUCCCCACCGGCGGUAGGUGCGCAAGCACGAGCCCGCGAGCGCUUCCCGGCCCCCGGGAAGGUCAGCAGAUCCGGUCCAAUGCCGGAGCCGACGGUAUAGUCCGGAUGAAAGAAGACGGUG